GGAUGUGAGAGGCUUUCUGACUGUGACAUCUAUCACUCCAGAGGUCGCCGGAGUUGUCUGGCUGAUCUGGCUGGCUAGGAAGGUGUCCCCUUCCUCCCUCACUAAUCUAUGGGCAUCCCUUUCCCUGAAGCUUCAGUGUAAAAGGAAAACCACCCCCCAUAGAGGGGGACCUUUUCAUUUCCUUGGUCAACCCUACAGAGUACAGGAGUAGUUGUGCUCACCUGCUAGAACCUCUAAACAAGCUCUCAAGGAUAGCUGCAAUAGAGCUACACAAGGCAUUCAAAGUAGUCAGCACAGAAGAAAAACUCACUAUGUAGUCAGUUU
ensembl:misc_RNA 7SK 7SK RNA